rnacentral:rRNA from 2 species
CGAACCAAACCAUUGAUUGGAGCUUGCUCCUUGAUUUGGACCUUGGUGAGUGGCGGACGGGUGAGUAACACGUGGGUAACCUGCCCAAAAGUGGGGGAUAACAUCUGGAAACAGGUGCUAAUACCGCAUAACAACUACUUUCACAUGAUUGUAGUUUGAAAGAUGGCUCUGCUAUCGCUUUUGGAUGGACCCGCGGCGUAUUAGCUAGUUGGUGAGGUAACGGCUCACCAAGGCAAUGAUACGUAGCCGACCUGAGAGGGUAAUCGGCCACAUUGGGACUGAGACACGGCCCAAACUCCUACGGGAGGCAGCAGUAGGGAAUCUUCCACAAUGGGCGAAAGCCUGAUGGAGCAAUGCCGCGUGAGUGAAGAAGGUUUUCGGAUCGUAAAGCUCUGUUGUUGAAGAAGAACAUGCGUGAGAGUAACUGUUCACGUACUGACGGUAUUCAACCAGAAAGCCACGGCUAACUACGUGCCAGCAGCCGCGGUAAUACGUAGGUGGCAAGCGUUGUCCGGAUUUAUUGGGCGUAAAGAGAAUGUAGGCGGUUUAUUAAGUUUGAAGUGAAAGCCCUCGGCUCAACCGAGGAAGUGCUUCGAAAACUGGUAAACUUGAGUGCAGAAGAGGAAAGUGGAACUCCAUGUGUAGCGGUGGAAUGCGUAGAUAUAUGGAAGAACACCAGUGGCGAAGGCGGCUUUCUGGUCUGUAACUGACGCUGAGAUUCGAAAGCAUGGGUAGCAAACAGGAUUAGAUACCCUGGUAGUCCAUGCCGUAAACGAUGAGUGCUAAGUGUUGGAGGGUUUCCGCCCUUCAGUGCUGCAGCUAACGCAUUAAGCACUCCGCCUGGGGAGUACGAUUGCAAGAUUGAAACUCAAAGGAAUUGACGGGGGCCCGCACAAGCGGUGGAGCAUGUGGUUUAAUUCGAAGCAACGCGAAGAACCCUUACCAGGUCUUGACAUACCAUGAAAAGCUUAGAGAUAAGUCUUUCCCUUCGGGGACAUGGAUACAGGUGGUGCAUGGUUGUCGUCAGCUCGUGUCGUGAGAUGUUGGGUUAAGUCCCGCAACGAGCGCAACCCUUAUUAUCAGUUGCCAGCAUUUAGUUGGGCACUCUGGUGAGACUGCCGGUGACAAACCGGAGGAAGGUGGGGACGACGUCAAAUCAUCAUGCCCCUUAUGACCUGGGCUACACACGUGCUACAAUGGUCGGUACAACGUGCUGCGAACUCGCGAGGGUAAGCAAAUCACUUAAAACCGAUCUCAGUUCGGAUUGUAGGCUGCAACUCGCCUACAUGAAGCUGGAAUCGCUAGUAAUCGCGGAUCAGCAUGCCGCGGUGAAUACGUUCCCGGGCCUUGUACACACCGCCCGUCACACCAUGAGAGUUUGUAACACCCAAAGCCGGUG